rnacentral:rRNA from 1 species
GAGUUUGAUCCUGGCUCAGGACGAACGCUGGCGGCGCGCUUCAUCCAUGCAAGUCGAACGAACCCGAGACUUCGGUCUCAAUGGGAAAGUGGCGAACGGGUGAGUAACACGUGAGAAACCUACCCCGGAGAUGGGAAUAGCCCAGGGAAACCUGGAUUAAUACCCGAUAUCCUGCCUGCACCUCAUGGUGCGUUCAGGAAACGCUCCGGUGCUCCGGGAGGGUCUCGCGGCCUAUCAGCUUGUUGGUGAGGUAAUGGCUCACCAAGGCAUCGACGGGUAGCUGGUCUGAGAGGACGAUCAGCCACACUGGGACUGAGACACGGCCCAGACUCCUACGGGAGGCAGCAGGAGGGAAUAUUGCGCAAUGGGCGAAAGCUGACGCAGCGACGCCGCGUGGGGGAAGAAGGCCUUCGGGUCGUAAACCCCUUUCAGCAGGGACGAAAUUGACGGUACCUGCAGAAGAAGCGCCGGCCAACUACGUGCCAGCAGCCGCGGUAAUACGUAGGGCGCAANGUUGUCCGGAUUCAUUGGGCGUAAAGGGCUCGUAGGCGGUUUGGUAAGUCGGGUGUGAAAACUCAGGGCUCAACUCUGAGACGCCACUCGAUACUGCCAUGACUAGAGUCCGGUAGGGGAGUGUAGAAUUCCUGGUGUAGCGGUGAAAUGCGCAGAUAUCAGGAGGAAUACCGAUAGCGAAGGCAGCACUCUGGGCCGGUAC